GGGUACCAGCAUUCUACUCGA
rnacentral:siRNA from 1 species